rnacentral:rRNA from 1 species
CUAAGCAUGAAGCCCCCCUCGAGAUGAGAUUUCCCAACUUCGGUUAUAAGAUCCCUCAAAGAUGAUGAGGUGAAUAGGUUCGAGGUGGAAGCGUAGUGAUACGUGGAGCUGACGAAUACUAAUCGAUCGAAGACUUAAUCAAU